rnacentral:rRNA from 1 species
UACGUAGGGUGCAAGCGUUGUCCGGAAUUAUUGGGCGUAAAGGGCUCGUAGGCGGUCUGUCACGUCGGGAGUGAAAACUCAGGGCUUAACCCUGAGCCUGCUUCCGAUACGGGCAGACUAGAGGUAUGCAGGGGAGAACGGAAUUCCUGGUGUAGCGGUGAAAUGCGCAGAUAUCAGGAGGAACACCGGUGGCGAAGGCGGGUCUCUGGGCCGUAACUGACGCUGAGGAGCGAAAGCGUGGGGAGCGAACAGG